rfam:Schistocephalus solidus strain NST_G2 genome assembly, scaffold: SSLN_scaffold0002784
ACAACGGCCCUAUUUAGGGCCAUUACAACUGAUUGUUUAUAGCUA